rnacentral:rRNA from 1 species
UAGUCCAUGCCGUAAACGAUGGGUACUAGGUGUCGGGGGACUAGCCCCCUCGGUGCCGUAGCAAACGCGUUAAGUACCCCGCCUGGGGAGUACGAUCGCAAGGUUGAAACUCAAAGGAAUUGACGGGGGCCCGCACAAGCGGUGGAGCAUGUGGUUUAAUUCGAUGCAACGCGAAGAACCUUACCUGGGCUUGAACUGUAAUUGCUAAUAGCAGAGAUGUUAUGUUCGGAUUUAUUCGACGGUUACAGAGGUGCUGCAUGGCUGUCGUCAGCUCGUGUCGUGAGAUGUUGGGUUAAGUCCCGCAACGAGCGCAACCCUUAUCAUUAGUUGCCAGCGCGUCAAGGCGGGGACUCUAAUGAGACUGCCCGGGUCAACCGGGAGGAAGGUGGGGAUGACGUCAAGUCCCCAUGGCCCUUAUGUCCAGGGCUACACACGUGCUACAAUGGGCGGUACAAAGUGUCGCGAAACCGCGAGGUUAAGCUAAUCACAAAAACCGUUCUCAGUUCGGAUUGGAGUCUGC